ensembl:snRNA U6 U6 spliceosomal RNA
GAACAUAUUUGUUCAAUAAAACUGGAACAAUACAGAGAAGAUUAGCAUGUCCCCUGCACAACGAUGAAAUACAAAUUCAUGAAGCAUUCCAUUAAAAA